rnacentral:rRNA from 1 species
UACAGAGGUCUCAAGCGUUGUUCGGAUUCAUUGGGCGUAAAGGGUGCGUAGGCGGCGCGGUAAGUCGGAUGUGAAAUCUCGGGGCUUAACUCCGAAACUGCAUUCGAUACUGCUGUGCUUGAGGACUGGAGAGGAGACUGGAAUUUACGGUGUAGCGGUGAAAUGCGUAGAUAUCGUAAGGAAGACCAGUGGCGAAGGCGGGUCUCUGGACAGUUCCUGACGCUGAGGCACGAAGGCCAGGGGAGCAAACGGG